rnacentral:rRNA from 1 species
GACGAACGCUGGCGGCGUGCUUAACACAUGCAAGUCGAACGGUAAGGCCUCUUCUGUGUUGCACGCGCGGCGAACGGAUGGGUAACACGUGGGUGACCUGCCCUCCCUUCUGUGUUAGGCAUGUGAAACUGGGUCUAGUACCGACUAUAUCCUUUCCCCGCCUGGGGUUUGGGGGUAGGUUUUUUCGGCCGGGGAUGGGCGCGCGGCCUGUCAGCUUGUUGGUGGGUUGGUGGCCUACCAAGGGGAGGACGGGUAGCCGGCCUGGGAGGGCGACCGGCCACGCUGGGACAGAGACACGGCCCAGAUACGUACGGGAGGCAGCAGUGGGGAAGAUUGCGGAAUGGGCGGAAGCCGGACGCAGCGAGGCCGCGUGGGGGAGGACGGCCGGCGGGGUGCAAACCUCGUUCGUCCCCGACGAAGUGGGACGGUAGGGGUAGAAGAAGCACCGGCCAACUACGUG